rnacentral:rRNA from 1 species
CCUACGGGGUGCUGCAGUGAGGAAUAUUGGUCAAUGGACGAGAGUCUGAACCAGCCAAGUAGCGUGAAGGAUGACUGCCCUAUGGGUUGUAAACUUCUUUUAUAUGGGAAUAAAAUGUUCCACGUGUGGGAUUUUGUAUGUACCAUAUGAAUAAGGAUCGGCUAACUCCGUGCCAGCAGCCGCGGUAAUACGGAGGAUCCGAGCGUUAUCCGGAUUUAUUGGGUUUAAAGGGAGCGUAGGUGGAUUGUUAAGUCAGUUGUGAAAGUUUGCGGCUCAACCGUAAAAUUGCAGUUGAAACUGGCAGUCUUGAGUACAGGAGAGGUGGGCGGAAUUCGUGGUGUAGCGGUGAAAUGCUUAGAUAUCACGAAGAACUCCGAUUGCGAAGGCAGUUCACUGGACUGCAACUGACACUGAGGCUCGAAAGUGUGGGUAUCAAACAGGAUUAGAUACCCCUGUAGUC